GGGUUUAUUGAUGAAAUUGAAGGGCCAAAGAUAGUUGGCACUAUUGGCACAAGAUUCUGGAAAUUAUUGAAAUUUAUUUUAAAUAAUAAUAGCCAACAUCGUAUAUCGGUUUUAGCAUGCGACGAAAACGUUGAUCGUAUAGAACAUCUUAUACAGUUGAAUCAAGUUAUAGGUGUUAUAUAUGCAAAUGGUAGAAUACGAAAUAAAUAUCCUACACAUUUUAAUAACGGAACUCUUCAACAUGAACUUAUUGUUUAUGAUCAUACUGUAAUAGUCAACCUGGGUCCAUUUGAACGAACCUAAUUUAACCGUUAAUUGAAUCGGUUCAACCGGAAGUCGUUUUCCAAUAAUGUAUCCGAGUACUUAAAUUCGUGCAUUCAUAUGUAUGUGAUAUCAAUAGUUUUUUUGUUAUAUAAAUAUAUUUAAAUUUGUGCA